rnacentral:lncRNA from 1 species
GUGGCUUUAAGUCAUUAACUUCUGAAAAUUGUAAGUCUACCUUUUGAUUUAGUUAUAGCUAUUUAAAUUGAUAUUUUAUAGUGUGUCUUUUAAUGUUGUGAUGUUACCCUAUUGUUUUAGGUUGCUGAAUGUCUACGCCUGUGAAAAAUGUUAAAUCGUAUAAACCCGUUGCAUGCGUUUGUCCUAAAUCAGAAAUAUGUUGUUCAGUGGUUAUUGUUUGUUGAUGUGGUUCAUAAUUAUUUCUCGUUUUUCGUUUUCUAUUUUUUAUAUAGGUAAUACUGUUGAUUUUAAUGUUUGAAUUGCUUACACCAGUUAUUUCGGGGCACUUUAUAGGUUCUUGUUCGGUGAGCUAGGUCUUCGUACUGAAGGUCGUACAUUGACCGAUGAUGGUUUACUUUUACAAAUUG